UAGAACUACUGAAUUUACACUAACAAAUUGUUUCAGAGUCUUGUGAUGACCACCUCACCAUCAACGAAACCUCCAAUGACAUUUAUUUAGUCUCGCCACCUGACCGCGAACUGCAGCAGACGUUUGAAGUGAAGGGUUCUUGCGCCGUUAGACGCGACGGUCAGACCCUGGAAGAGAGGACCUUCAGUAUUGUAGUCCAAGUGUAUGAUGUGGAUGACUCGCACCCCUACACCAGCAAUGACAGUCGCCAGCAGCUGGAAGAGAUAGUUUCCCCUAUCAAGAUUGGCAAGGACAUAGUCAUCACAUCUUACGAUAACGACAGCAGCAAAAUAACGAACAAUAACUCCUACAAAGUAUACACCAACGACAGUCUUGGCAUUAUCGUCCUUGGCAGCACAAAGUUCUAUAAAGACUAUAAAGGCAAGACGAUGAUCAAGACCAGUUUCUCCAUGGUGAACAAGAAGCUACCCAGUUCCUACGUCGUCGACAUCGUCAAGGAAAAUUGGAAAUAUCAUCCUCACGGGGAGACAACUAUGAAGAACAAGGUAAGAGUUAAGAAAGAGU
rnacentral:sRNA from 1 species